AUUGAACGCUGGCGGCAGGCCUAACACAUGCAAGUCGAGCGAGCGGCGGACGGGUGAGUAAUGUCUGGGAAACUGCCUGAUGGAGGUGGAUAACUACUGGAAACGGUAGCUAAUACCGCAUACCAUCAGAUGUGCCCAGUUGGGAUUAGCUCGUAGGUGGGGUAACGGCUCACCUAGGCAACGAUCACUAGCUGGUCUGAGAGGAUGACCACACACAUUGGAACUGAGACACGGUCCAGACUCCUACGGGAGGCAGCAGUGGGGAAUAUUGGACAAGGGGUGCAAGCCUGAUGCAGCAAUGCCGCGGGUGUAAAGAAGGCCUUCGGGUUGUAAAGCACUUUCAGCGGGGAGGCGUUACCCGCAGAAGAAGCACCGGCUAACUCCGUGCCAGCAGCCGCGGUAAUAC
rnacentral:rRNA from 1 species